AGGCAGUUAUACGACUGACGGAAGUGGAAAUGACCACAGGGAGUAUAGCGUGAGAAGAGGCCGACCGUCUGGGCAGAAGAA
rnacentral:ncRNA from 10 species